CCUACGGGUGGCAGCAGUGAGGAAUAUUGGUCAAUGGGCGCGAGCCUGAACCAGCCACGUAGCGUGAAGGAUGAAUGCUUUACGGGUUUUAAACUUUAUCUAUAAAGGAAUAAAGUGAGGCACCUGUGCCUUGUUGCCCGUACUUUAUGAAUAAGGACCGGCUAACUACGUGCCAGGAGCCGCGGUAAUACGGAGGGUGCUAGCGUUAUCCGGAUUUAUUGGGGUUAAAGGGGGCGUAGAUGGCAUGGCAAGUCAGUUGUGAAAGUUUGCGGCUCAACCGUGGAAUUGCAAUUGAUACUGGGCGUCUUGAGUGCAGGUGAGGUAGGCGGAAUUCGUGGUGUAGCGGUGAAAUGCUUAGAUAUCACGAGGAACUCCGAUUGCGAAGGCAGCUUACUAAACUGCCACUGACGUUGAUGCUCGAAAGUGUGGGUAGCAAACAGGAUUAGAUACCCGGGUAGUC
rnacentral:rRNA from 1 species